rnacentral:rRNA from 1 species
GAUGAACGCUGGCGGCGUGCCUAAUACAUGCAAGUCGAGCGAACAGACGAGGAGCUUGCUCCUCUGACGUUAGCGGCGGACGGGUGAGUAACACGUGGAUAACCUACCUAUAAGACUGGGAUAACUUCGGGAAACCGGAGCUAGUACCGGAUAAUAUAUUGAACCGCAUGGUUCAAUAGUGAAAGACGGUUUUGCUGUCACUUAUAGAUGGAUCCGCGCCGCAUUAGCUAGUUGGUAAGGUAACGGCUUACCAAGGCAACGAUGCGUAGCCGACCUGAGAGGGUGAUCGGCCACACUGGAACUGAGACACGGUCCAGACUCCUACGGGAGGCAGCAGUAGGGAAUCUUCCGCAAUGGGCGAAAGCCUGACGGAGCAACGCCGCGUGAGUGAUGAAGGUCUUCGGAUCGUAAAACUCUGUUAUUAGGGAAGAACAAAUGUGUAAGUAACUAUGCACGUCUUGACGGUACCUAAUCAGAAAGCCACGGCUAACUGCGUG